rnacentral:rRNA from 1 species
UACGUAGGGGGCAAGCGUUGUCCGGAUUUAUUGGGCGUAAAGAGCGUGUAGGCGGCCAGAUAGGUCCGUUGUGAAAACUCGAGGCUCAACCUCGAGACGCCGAUGGAAACCAUUUGGCUAGAGUCCGGAAGAGGAGAGUGGAAUUCCUGGUGUAGCGGUGAAAUGCGCAGAUAUCAGGAGGAACACCAGCGGCGAAGGCGGCGCUCUGGGCCGGUACUGACACUGAGGAGCGAAAGCGUGGGUAGCAAACAGG